rnacentral:rRNA from 1 species
UUACCGAGUUUACAACUCCCAAACCCCUGUGAACAUACCACUUGUUGCCUCGGCGGAUCAGCCCGCUCCCGGUAAAACGGGACGGCCCGCCAGAGGACCCCUAAACUCUGUUUCUAUAUGUAACUUCUGAGUAAAACCAUAAAUAAAUCAAAACUUUCAACAACGGAUCUCUUGGUUCUGGCAUCGAUGAAGAACGCAGCAAAAUGCGAUAAGUAAUGUGAAUUGCAGAAUUCAGUGAAUCAUCGAAUCUUUGAACGCACAUUGCGCCCGCCAGUAUUCUGGCGGGCAUGCCUGUUCGAGCGUCAUUUCAACCCUCAAGCACAGCUUGGUGUUGGGACUCGCGUUAAUUCGCGUUCCCCAAAUUGAUUGGCGGUCACGUCGAGCUUCCAUAGCGUAGUAGUAAAACCCUCGUUACUGGUAAUCGUCGCGGCCACGCCGUUAAACCCCAACUUCUGAAUGUUGACCUCGGAUCAGGUAGGAAUACCCGCUGAACUUAAGCAUAUCAAUAAGCGGAGGAAAAGAAACCAACAGGGAUUGCCCUAGUAACGGCGAGUGAAGCGGCAACAGCUCAAAUUUGAAAUCUGGCUCUCGGGCCCGAGUUGUAAUUUGUAGAGGAUACUUUUGAUGCGGUGCCUUCCGAGUUCCCUGGAACGGGACGCCAUAGAGGGUGAGAGCCCCGUCUGGUUGGAUGCCAAAUCUCUGUAAAGUUCCUUCAACGAGUCGAGUAGUUUGGGAAUGCUGCUCUAAAUGGGAGGUAUAUGUCUUCUAAAGCUAAAUACC